GCCUGGGUGGCUCAGUCGGUUGAGCAUCCGACUUCGGCUCAGGUCAUGAUCUCACGGUUCGUGGGUUCAAGCCCCGCAUCGGGCU
rnacentral:tRNA from 1 species